rnacentral:rRNA from 1 species
GCUGGAUACUAUGUAUUUAGUAAUUGGAAUGAGUACAAUUUAAAUCCCUUAACAAGUAACAAUUAGAGGGCAAGUCUGGUGCCAGCAGCCGCGGUAAUUCCAGCUCUAAUAGCGUAUAUUAAUAUUGUUGCAGUUAAAAAGCUCGUAGUUGAAAUUUUGGAACUUUAUUGUAUUGGUUUAUCUUUUGAUGAACUGUAUAAUGGGUUUCUUCCUACUAGAGUUCGAUUCUGUUCUUAAUUGAAUGGAGUAGCUAUCUCUCGGGGUGGUCAAUUGGUUGUUAUAUCUCCACUAAUAAGCGGAGAGGGGUAAAACUCUCAAAGUAAGUUAUGUGGGUCAAGGUAUGAUGAUUAAUUGGAGUUCUAGUUCAUUUACUUUGAGAAAAUUAGAGUGUUUAAAGCAGC